GUAGUUUAUGAUGUAAAUAAUCUUGUGAUAAGUAUUAAAUUUACGGGUAGUGGAAGCCAUGGAAGGAAAUAGGAUUAUAUAGGGAGGGGUGAAAUCUGCAGAUCUAUAUAGGACUAACUGAAGCGAAGGCGAUUUUCUAUGUGGUAUUCGACGAUCAAGAACGAAAGCCGGAGUAUCGAAGACGAUUAGAUACCGUGGUAGUUCCGCGCAGUAAACGAUGUUAUAUUAUUUGUAUGGGGAUGCGAGUCGCGGUGUGGAUAUAUAGAAAUUAAGAUAUUAUGAACUUUGGGGAUAGUACGAACGCAAGUUUUAAACUUAAAUGAAAUUGACGGAAGGACACACCAGGAGUGGAGUGUGCGGUUUAAUUUGACUCAACGCGGGACAACUUACCAUUUUUUGAAGUAAGUAUGAGUGACAUUUCACGAUUUUACUAUGAGUGGUGCAUGCCCGUUAACAAUACGUGAUGUGAAUUUUGAUUUUCCAAUAGAAUUUUUUAUUAAUAUGUUAAAUCCCCCAAUGUGUGAGCCCCAUAUCCCAAGGGCUUGGUAGCCAGAUGGUGUAAGCCAUAGGAAGGAAUGGGCGAUAACAGGUCAGAGAUGCCCUUAAAUGAAAUGGGCGCCACGCCCACUCCAAUAGAUGCAUUAUGUAUCUAAGGAGUUGGGAUUACGAGUAUGUAAGUAUUGUAUGAACAAGGAAUUCCUAGUAAUAUGUAAAGUUAACAACGACAUAUGAAUG
rnacentral:rRNA from 1 species